rnacentral:rRNA from 1 species
UACGGAGGGAGCUAGCGUUAUUCGGAAUUACUGGGCGUAAAGCGCACGUAGGCGGCUUUGUAAGUUAGCGGUGAAAGCCUGGAGCUCAACUCCAGAAUUGCCUUUAAGACUGCAUCGCUUGAAUCCAGGAGAGGUGAGUGGAAUUCCGAGUGUAGAGGUGAAAUUCGUAGAUAUUCGGAAGAACACCAGUGGCGAAGGCGGCUCACUGGACUGGUAUUGACGCUGAGGUGCGAAAGCGUGGGGAGCAAACAGG